rnacentral:rRNA from 1 species
UGGGGAAUAUUGGACAAUGGGCGAAAGCCUGAUCCAGCCAUGCCGCGUGAGUGACGAAGGCCUUGGGGUUGUAAAACUCUUUCGUCGGGGACGAUAAUGACGGUACCCGAAGAAGAAGCUCCGGCUAACUUCGUGCCAGCAGCCGCGGUAAUACGAAGGGAGCUAGCGUUGUUCGGAAUCACUGGGCGUAAAGCGCACGUAGGCGGAUAGUUAAGUCAGGGGUGAAAUCCUGGGGCUCAACCCCAGAACUGCCUUUGAUACUGGCUGUCUCGAGGUCGAGAGAGGUUGGUGGAAUUCCUAGUGUAGAGGUGAAAUUCGUAGAUAUUAGGAAGAACACCAGUGGCGAAAGCGACUCUCUGGACGGCAACUGACGCUGAGGCACGAAAGCGUGGGGAGCAAACAGGAUUAGAUACCCAAGUAGUCCCUGAGCGGGCUGGCAAGGCGCAU